rnacentral:rRNA from 1 species
GGGCCCGCACAAGCGGCGGAGCAUGCGGCUUAAUUCGAUGCAACGCGAAGAACCUUACCUAGGCUUGACAGUUGGGGAAAUCUGGCAGAGAUGCCAGGUCCGUAAGGGCCCCAAAACAGGUGGUGCAUGGCUGUCGUCAGCUCGUGUCGUGAGAUGUUGGGUUAAGUCCCGCAACGAGCGCAACCCUCGUCGUAUGUUGCCAGCGGAUAAUGCCGGGGACUCAUACGAGACUGCCGGGGUCAACUCGGAGGAAGGUGGGGACGACGUCAAGUCAUCAUGCCCCUUAUGUCUAGGGCUGCACGCAUGCUACAAUGGCCGGUACAGAGGGCUGCGAAACCGCAAGGUAGAGCGAAUCCCAAAAAGCCGGUCUCAGUUCGGAUUGGGGUCUGCAACUCGACCCCAUGAAGUCGGAGUCGCUAGUAA